rnacentral:pre_miRNA from 12 species
AUAAAAACUACAUAUUAUUUGUGGGGCAAUGCUGUAUGCUGUAUGUAUCUUUAUAUAUCAUAAGCGUAUAGCUUUUCCCCUUUAAUAUUAUGUACCCUCAA